rnacentral:rRNA from 1 species
UACGUAGGUGGCAAGCGUUACUCGGAAUCACUAGGCGUAAAGCGCAGGUAGGAGGUUUAGUAAGUCUGUUGUGAAAGCUCCCGGCUUAACUGGGAGAGGUCAACGGAAACUGCUAGGCUAGAGUGCGGUAGAGGUAGCUGGAAUUCCCGGUGUAGCGGUGAAAUGCGCAGAUAUCAGGAGGAACACCAAUGGCGAAGGCAGCUCGCUGGGACGGUACUGACGCUGAGGCGCGAAAGCGUGGGGAGCAAACAGG